GAGUUUGAUCAUGGCUCAGAUUGAACGCUGGCGGCAUGCCUUACACAUGCAAGUCGAACGGCAGCAUGAUCUAGCUUGCUAGAUUGAUGGCGAGUGGCGAACGGGUGAGUAAUACAUCGGAACGUGCCCUGUAGUGGGGGAUAACUAGUCGAAAGAUUAGCUAAUACCGCAUACGACCUGAGGGUGAAAGUGGGGGACCGCAAGGCCUCAUGCUAUAGGAGCGGCCGAUGUCUGAUUAGCUAGUUGGUGGGGUAAAGGCCCACCAAGGCGACGAUCAGUAGCUGGUCUGAGAGGACGAUCAGCCACACUGGGACUGAGACACGGCCCAGACUCCUACGGGAGGCAGCAGUGGGGAAUUUUGGACAAUGGGGGCAACCCUGAUCCAGCAAUGCCGCGUGUGUGAAGAAGGCCUCGGUUGUAA
rnacentral:rRNA from 1 species